rnacentral:rRNA from 1 species
GGACGACCAGCCAGAAUGGAACUGCGACACGGUCCAUACUCCUACGGGAGGCAGCAGUGAGGAAUCUUCCGCAAUGGACGAAAGUCUGACGGAGCGACGCCGCGUGGUGGAUGAAGGCCUUAACUGGUCGUAAACACCUGUUCUGAGGGACGAAAUUCUUAACGGUACCUCAGGAGAAAGUAUCGGCAAACCCUGUGCCAGCAGCCGCGGUAAGACAGGGGAUACAAGCGUUACUCGGAAUCACUGGGCGUAAAGCGUCUGUAGGUUCUCCGGAAAGUCUGAGGUAAAAGCUCGGGGCUCAACCCUGAGAUCGUCUCGGAAACCUCCGGAGUGGAGCAGUGGAGAGGCAUCUGGAAUGCCGCAUGUAGGAGUAAAAUCCGUAGAGAUGCGGUAGAACGCCAAAAGCGAAGGCAGGAUGCUUGCCACUUGCUGACACUGAGAGACGAAAGCGUGGGGAGCGAAGCGGAUUAGAUACCCGCGUAGUCCACGCCCUAAACGAUGUGUGCUCGAUGUGGGGGGUUCUCAAUUGCCCUCCGUGUCCAAGCUUACGCGGUAAGCACACCGCCUGGGAAGUACGGCCGCAAGGCUAAAACUCAAAGGAAUAGACGGGGACCCACACAAGCGGUGGAGCAUGGGGUUUAAUUCGAUAGUAAGCGAAGCACCUCACCCAGGUUUGACAUCUCGGGAAUCUCCCAGAAACGGGGGAGUGCCGCAAGGAACCCGAAGACAGGCGCUGCACGGUUGUCGUCAGCUCGUGCCUUGAGGUGUACUGUUAAGUCAGCGAACGAGCGCAACCCUCAUCCUGUGUUGUUUUUUCACAGGAGACUGCCGCCUCCAAGGCGGAGGAAGGUGGGGGUGACGUCAAAUCAGCGUGGCCCUUAUACCUGGGGCAACACCCGUGCUACAAUGGCCGGUACAAACCGCAGCGAACCCGCGAGGGGGAGCCAAUCGGAUAAAGCCGGUCUCAGUUCGGAUUGCAGUCUGCAACUCGACUGCAUGAAGUUGGAAUCGCUAGUAACCGUGAAUCAGCUACGUCACGGUGAAUAAGUUCCUGGGUCUUGUACUCACCGCCCGUCAAGUCAUGAAAGGUAGGAGCACCUGAAGCACCUUUACCCGCAAGGGGAGGUACCACGGUGAUACUACUGAUUGGGACUAAGUCGUAACAAGGUAUGUGUAGGAGAACCUGCGCAUG